rnacentral:rRNA from 1 species
UACCAGCACCCCGAGUGGUCGGGACGAUUAUUGGGCCUAAAGCAUCCGUAGCCGGUCCUGCAAGUCUUCCGUUAAAUCCAGCUGCUCAACAGAUGGGCUGCGGGGGAUACUACAGGGCUAGGAGGCGGGAGAGGCAAGCGGUACUUUAUGGGUAGGGGUAAAAUCCGUUGAUCCAUAGAAGACCACCAGUGGCGAAGGCGACUUCCUGGCCUGUUCUUGACGCUGAGGCGCGAAAGCUAGGGGAGCAAACGGG